rnacentral:rRNA from 1 species
UUCCUACGGGGGGAGCACAGUGGGGAAUUUUGGACAAUGGGCGAAACGCCUGAUCCAGCCCAUCCCGCGUGUAUGAAGAAGGGCCUUCGGGUUGUAAAGUACUUUUGGCAGGGAGGAAAACGUUUCCCCUAAUACCGGAGUCGGUUGACGGUACCUGCAGAAUAAGCACCGGCUAACUACGUGCCAGCAGCCGCGGUAAUACGUAGGGUGCAAGCGUUAAUCGGAAUUACUGGGGCGUAAAGCGCGCGCAGGCGGUUUGUAAAGUCAGAUGUGAAAUCCCCGGGCUCAACCUGGGAACUGCAUUUKAAACUGGCGGGCUAGAGUAUGUCAGAGGGGGGUAGAAUUCCACGUGUAGCAGUGAAAUGCGUAGAGAUGUGGAGGAAUACCGAUGGCGAAGGCAGCCCCCUGGGAUAACACUGACGCUCAGGCACGAAAGAGCCCAC